rnacentral:rRNA from 1 species
GACGAACGCUGGCGGCGUGCUUAACACAUGCAAGUCGAACGGAAAGGCCCUGCUUUUGUGGGGUGCUCGAGUGGCGAACGGGUGAGUAACACGUGAGUAACCUGCCCUUGACUUUGGGAUAACUUCAGGAAACUGGGGCUAAUACCGGAUAGGAGCUCCUGCUGCAUGGUGGGGGUUGGAAAGUUUCGGCGGUUGGGGCUGGACUCGCGGCUUAUCAGCUUGUUGGUGGGGUAGUGGCUUACCAAGGCUGUGACGGGUAGCCGGCCGGCGAGGGUGACCGGCCACAUUGGGACUGAGAUACGGCCCAGCCUCCUACGGGAGGCAGCAGUGGGGAAUAUUGCACAAUGGGCGGAAGCCUGAUGCAGCAACGCCGCGUGCGGGAUGACGGCCUUCGGGUUGUAAACCGCUUUCGCCUGUGACGAAGCGUGAGUGACGGUAAUGGGUAAAGAAGCACCGGCUAACUACGUG